rnacentral:rRNA from 1 species
AUUGAACGCUGGCGGCAGGCCUAACACAUGCAAGUCGAGCGAGCGGCGGACGGGUGAGUAAUGUCUGGGAAACUGCCUGAUGGAGGGGGAUAACUACUGGAAACGGUAGCUAAUACCGCAUCCCAUCAGAUGUUCCCAGAUGGGAUUAGCUGGUAGGUGGGGUAACGGCUCACCUAGGCGACGAUCCCUAGCUGGUCUGAGAGGAUGACCAGCACCACGGGAACUGAGACACGGUCCGGCCUCCAACGGGAGGCAGCAGUGGGGAAUUUUGCCCAUUGGGCGCAAGCCUGCUGCAGCCAUGCCGCGUGUGUGAAGCAGGCCUUGGGGUUGUAAAGCACUUUCAGCGGGGAGGCGUUACCCGCAGAAGAAGCACCGGCUAACUCCGUGCCAGCAGCCGCGGUAAUUC